ACAGGACAGGCCCAAACUAUAGUGACAUGUCCCCAUAUAUAUACAGGACAGGCCCAAACUAUAGUGACAUGUCCCCAUAUAUAUACAGGACAGGCCCAAACUAUAGUGACAUGUCCCCAUAUAUAUACAGGACAGCCCCAAACUAUAGUGACAUGUCCCCAUAUAUAUAUACAGGACAGGCCCAAACUAUAGUGACAUGUCCCCAUAUAUAUACAGGACAGGCCCAAACUAUAGUGACAUGUCCCCAUAUAUAUACAGGACAGGCCCAAACUAUAGUGACAUGUCCCCCAUAUAUAUAUAUACAGGACAGGCCCAAACUAUAGUGACACGUCCCCCAUAUAUAUACAGGACAGGCCCAAACUAUAGUGACACGUCCCCCAUAUAUAUACAGGACAGGCCCAAACUAUAGUGACAUGUCCCCAUAUAUAUACAGGACAGGCCCAAACUAUAGUGACACGUCCCCCAUAUAUAUACAGGACAGGCCCAAACUAUAGUGACAUGUCCCCAUAUAUAUACAGGACAGGCCCAAACUAUAGUGACAUGUCCCCAUAUAUAUACAGGACAGGCCCAAACUAUAGUGACAUGUCCCCAUAUAUAUACAGGACAGGCCCAAACUAUAGUGACAUGUCCCCAUAUAUAUACAGGACAGGCCUAAACUAUACUGGACACGUCCCCAUAUAUAUACAGGACAGGCCCAAACUAUACUGGACACGUCCCCAUAUAUAUACAGGACAGGCCCAAACUAUAGUGACAUGUCCCCAAAUAUAUACAGGACAGGCCCAAACUAUAGUGACAUGUCCCCAUAUAUAUACAGGACAGGCCCAAACUAUAGUGACAUGUCCCCAUAUAUAUACAGGACAGGCCCAAACUAUAGUGACAUGUCCCCAUAUAUAUACAGGACAGGCCCCAACUAUAGUGACAUGUCCCCAUAUAUAUAUACAGGACAGGCCCAAACUAUAGUGACAUGUCCCCAUAUAUAUACAGGACAAGCCCAAACUAUAGUGACAUGUCCCCAUAUAUAUACAGGACAGGCCCAAACUAUAGUGACAUGUCCCCAUAUAUAUACAGGACAGGCCCCAACUAUAGUGACAUGUCCCCAUAUAUAUAUACAGGACAGGCCCAAACUAUAGUGACAUGUCCCCAUAUAUAUACAGGACAGGCCCAAACUAUAGUGACAUGUCCCCAUAUAUAUACAGGACAGGCCCAAACUAUAGUGACAUGUCCCCAUAUAUAUACAGGACAGGCCCAAACUAUAGUGACAUGUCCCCAUAUAUAUACAGGACCGGCCCAAACUAUAGUGACAUGUCCCUAUAUAUAUAUACAGGACAGGCCCAAACUAUAGUGACAUGUCCCCAUAUAUAUAUACAGGACAGGCCCAAACUAUAGUGACAUGUCCCCAUAUAUAUAUACAGGACAGGCCCAAACUAUAGUGACACAUCCCCAUAUAUAUACAGGACAGGCCCAAACUAUAGUGACAUGUCCCCAUAUAUAUACAGGACAGGCCCAAACUAUAGUGACAUGUCCCCAUAUAUAUAUACAGGACAGGCCCAAACUAUAGUGACAUGUCCCCAUAUAUAUAUACAGGACAGGCCCAAACUAUAGUGACAUGUCCCCAUAUAUAUAUACAGGACAGGCCCAAACUAUAGUGACAUGUCCCCAUAUAUA